rnacentral:rRNA from 1 species
CAAGAACCACACAGAAAAGGGAGGCAAAGGGGCCUACAGGGCUAGUAGCUUAUACGUUGUUGAACGUCCUGCCUGGACCCGGAGCCGCCCCCAUCUAAACCCUCUGCGUACCUGUCCCUUCUUGCUUCCCCCGGCAUCUCGUCGGGGGGAGGUAACAACCAAAACUCUCUGUGAAUCAAACAGCCGUCAGAACUAUAAAACAAACAAAAGUUAAAACUUUCAACAACGGAUCUCUUGGUUCCCACAUCGAUGAAGAACGCAGCGAAAUGCGAUAAGUAAUGUGAAUUGCAGAAUUCAGUGAAUCAUCGAAUCUUUGAACGCACAUUGCGCCCCCUGGUAUUCCGGGGGGCAUGCCUGUUCGAGCGUCAUAAAAACCUCCUCCCCCUUCGGGUUUUGUUACUAUCGUUGGGGGGUUUUGGCCUAAUGGGAUAGCGAUUGGCAAUUCGUUUCCCAAUGUCCUAAAUAGACGUAGACCCGCCUCCAGAUGCGACAGCACCGAGGCCAUCAACCGUGGAGUUAUGGGAUAUAAUAGGCUUGCAGUAAAAUGCUCACCUCUCUCCACACGCCGAUGGCACGACAGUUGCAGUUGCGGGCGUAAAUUGGAGCCCUUUUCAGGACCCUUGUGGCCUAGCAUCCACCAUACAUAAUUUGACCUCGGAUCAGGUAGGGAUACCCGCUGAACUUAAGCAU